AGCUUCCUGCAAGAAGCAAAUUAAGGGAGGUAUUACAUAUCAAGAAUGAUGCAAUACAAGGCGCAGGCAUUUGGGUCGGAUAAAUCGUUGGUUAUCGCCCUACGGUCAUUUGCUUCUUGUUGCUGACUAGAAGGAAAAGAAAGCUUCUCCUUGGAGAUCUCACCAUACAAAUUAUUGGGCUUACAGCGUGGAAACUGUUUAUGUUGAACAUAAGAGUUUUUUAACAAAUACUUGUCAUCCAAGGAUUGCAUACUAGCUUAAAAGUUUAGACGAAGUCUGCUUUAAUUUUUUUGGCAUGAUGACAUUGACGAUGCUAAAACGAGGAACUAGCGGCACAACGAACGAGGAACAACCACAGAACUAGCGAAACGACUAUGGAAUGAGAGAAAACCAGGGAAUGACUGUGGAAUGAGAAGAGGACUAGCAGAAAGACCAAAGAACAAUACACCAAUUCAACUCACAGCCUUCAGCUUUUGAAAAAUUCUUCAAAUUCUUCAAAUUGUUUUGUACAAAAUAUUCAGAUUUGAAUCAACAGCAAGGAAUUUAGCCUGCUUAGGAGUUUUCAUUAUGGUAUUAUUUGACCGUGAUUGGUGACUAGGGGGUAAAGUUUCCCCCGGAAUGUUUUUUUGCGGUCAAAACCCUUACAAGUUUUCAAACUUCGUUUCUCUGUAAAAUCUAAAAUACAAGCACAAACAAUAUGAAAAAUUGUAUUCAGCUUAAGAUUAUGGUGAUAAAACUAAAUCUGAGCUUAAAAAAGUCAUAUUCACCGUUUUGGGUUGAUAUAAUUGAUUUUGCAUCUUGCAAUCUAAAGACGUUUCUCAAAAAUGGACUUCAGAUUUGAAAUCUUCAUCUUGAAUUUAGUUUAUAUUGAGAACUUUGUGUUGUUUGGACUGUUCGAUUGAAAGUUACUUUUUUUUAAUAUUAAAAUAUUUCUUUAGAUUUGACUGAGUUUUGCUGCUGUAGUGAAAAAUUUCACUACAGCGAUUAAUUCCAUUGAAAUGUAUAGGAAAAGCUAAAUUUUGAAAAUGGGGAAAUAUGGGGUAAUUCGCAGCCUGACAGCCAAAACAACAUGAUGAAAUUUUCAGCCCAGACUAAAGCAAAACAAUCAGUUCCGUGGCGACUUGGGGGCUUGAGCCCCACUGGGAAUUCGGUUUAACCUUGCUGACAGCAUUUUCACACAGAACAGGAUUUAAAGAAAAUCAAAACAAAAAAGCUUAAUGUUUCCCACAUAUAUAUGAAGGCAAAUCAAGUUGGGUCCACAAUCCCGGACAAAAAUGUUGAGACAAAAUGCAAUUUAUGUAAUUUUCUACUUUACCUUGCUCCAGUAAAUUCCAAUCCCCCCUUUCCCCCCAAAGCAAUGUUGGUAGUUCUAUCAUUUUUGCUUUAAAAUCAUGCAUUCAACAUUGAAUUGGGGAAGGGGGAAGCUAUUUUUCAAAGGAAAGAGAAAACAAAGUUUUCUUGAAAAGUCUCAACUAUUUUUUUCCAGGAUUGUAGCUCUCAAUUAGACUGUACUCUUAAUCAAUACGACAUGAAAGUUUAUAAAAACAGCGUAAUUAGAGGUAUAAGUAAAAUAUAAGUAUGAGAAUCGGAGAGUUCCAGACAACCUCUAAUAUUAGAAGGUGAUCUCGAAAUUUUGCUGUCUUUAGCUUUCAAACUUUAUGUUAAAAAUCUCAAAUAGAAAUACCUUGAAAGAAUUAAAAAAGUACAGUUGAACUAUAAAAAGACAGAGGUGAAAUCUUUCGAAAUCGGCAACAAAAACAUAUAGAACCAUCUUUAUCGAACUAUGAGAAUGAAGGCAUUUCAAGAACCGACAAUGAUAUGGAUGAUGAUGAUAAGGACGAUGUGAAUAAGAUUGAUAUCAUCAAAAAGCUCUAUUCUCAUUCUAAGCAUAAGGUUGCCUUGCUUUGUAGGGUUGUAAAAUUCAUCCAAUGAGUGCAUUUUUUAGUGAACUGGAGGCAUCAAAAAUUCAAAAAAUUUCCUUCCCCUUCCAUGGCAACCAUGGUGCCGCCUCAGGUUAGAACUAUAUCGUGUACUUGUUUAUUGCUCUUCAUGAAAAAAUCUGCAACUUUACAAAGACUUAUCCUAUCUAAGUGAAAAUAAUUUAUAUUCUGUAUGACUAAAGGAAGAAAGUUUUGUGAUGCUUUAGUCUAAAGGAUGCUGUGUCAGGGGAAGUUUCUUAAAUACCAAAAGAAAUUUGGCACUCUUUUCUGACCACCUUCCUUUAAGCCUAACAGUAAAGACUUUCUUAACCAUUGCUUAACUUCUGGAACUUUACUGCAUACCAACUUGCACAACCCUACAGUCUUACUACUUUAUUACAUGAUCAUUAUGCUUUUAUAUUAAAGUAUUUAAGUUAAUGUCUAUUCUUCUAUUAUGAUUUGGCUUUAGACUGCUGCUAUUACCACAAAAUCACAAGAUAAUACAGUAGUGUUCAGCAUAUAAGAAACAUAAAUAUAAGAAACACAGACCUUGGUUUUGAAAAUAAUACCCCCAUUUUAUUAUAAACUGGACAUACUAAAGCCUUUGAAAAACAUAGCCAAACACUUUGAUAGGAUAGUGUAUUCUGUAUACAGUGCUGUUUGUCAGGCUUAAAUGAUAUGUUUUGUAUCACAAUGAUAGAGGUCCUGUCUGAGUAGUUAAUCUUUAGUACAUGAUUUUUCUAAUAAGAAACUUUACCCUGAUUUGAAGAUUGUCUCAUUUUAUUCUAUUGAUAGAAGAAACAAGUCUGACCUGAAAUUGAAAGUGUUGUUUCUUAUAUGCUGGUCACUACUGUAUAUGAAUGAAUUAAACAGAGGAGGUUUCAAAAAUUUAGACUGACAUUGGUUAAUUUAUUCAAGAACCACAUAGACAACAGCAUUGAAACAUAAACAAUGUCCAUUGAGACGAAGUCAGUUUUAAAUCCCUAC